GACGGAGCUCGGUGUAGCAUGAGAGCAGUGGAGAAGCUGCCAGGCCAGCCAGACAAGACACCUGGACAGGGAGAAAAAGUUGCUGCUUCCCUCCUUACAACUUGGCGAUUGUUAUCUGGAACAGUAAAAGACAUUAAAGCACAGUUUGAGGACAUUAGAAUGCUACUAGAUACCAUCAUACAGAGAAAUCGUG